UAUCUACUCCAUCCGUUCGGAAUUACUCGUCCAAGAAAUGAAUGUAUCUAGAUGUAUUUUAGUUGUAGAUACAUCCAUUUUUGUGACAAGUAAUUCCGAACGGAGGGAAUACAAA
rnacentral:pre_miRNA from 1 species